AUAUCUGACUAGGUUGGAACUGUUGUUACAUAUCUGACUAGGUUGGAACUGUUGUUACAUAUCUGACUAGGUUGGAACUGUUGUUACAUAUCUGACUAGGUUGGAACUGUUGUUACAUAUCUGACUAGGUUGGAACUGUUGUUACAUAUCUGACUAGGUUGGAACUGUUGUUACAUAUCUGACUAGGUUGGAACUGUUGUUACAUAUCUGACUAGGUUGGAACUGUUGUUACAUAUCUGACUAGGUUGGAACUGGUGUUACAUAUCUGACUAGGUUGGAACUGUUGUUACAUAUCUGUCUAGGUUGGAACUGUUGUUACAUAUCUGUCUAGGUUGGAACUGUUGUUACAUAUCUGUCUAGGUUGGAACUGUUGUUACAUAUCUGACUAGGUUGGAACUGGUGUUACAUAUCUGUCUAGGUUGGAACUGUUGUUACAUAUCUGCCUAGGUUGGAACUGUUGUUACAUAUCUGUCUAGGUUGGAACUGUUGUUACAUAUCUGUCUAGGUUGGAACUGUUGUUACAUAUCUGUCUAGAUUGGAACUGUUGUUACAUAUCUGUCUCGGUUGGAACUGUUGUUACAUAUCUGACUAGGUUGGAACUGUUGUUACAUAUCUGUCUAGGUUGGAACUGUUGUUACAUAUCUGUCUAGGUUGGAACUGUUGUUACAUAUCUGUCUAGGUUGGAACUGUUGUUACAUAUCUGACUAGGUUGGAACUGUUGUUACAUAUCUGACUAGGUUGGAACUGUUGUUACAUAUCUGUCUAGGUUGGAACUGUUGUUACAUAUCUGUCUAGGUUGGAACUGUUGUUACAUAUCUGUCUAGGUUGGAACUGUUGUUACAUAUCUGACUAGGUUGGAACUGUUGUUACAUAUCUGUCUAGGUUGGAACUGUUGUUACAUAUCUGACUAGGUUGGAACUGUUGUUACAUAUCUGACUAGGUUGGAACUGUUGUUACAUAUCUGACUAGGUAGGAACUGUUGUUACAUAUCUGUCUAGGUUGGAACAGUUGUUACAUAUCUGUCUAGGUUGGAACUGUUGUUACAUAUCUGUCUAGGUUGGAGCUGUUGUUACAUAUCUGUCUAGGUUGGAACUGUUGUUACGUAUCUGUCUAGGUUGGAACUGUUGUUACAUAUCUGACUAGGUUGGAACUGUUGUUACAUAUCUGUCUAGGUUGGAACUGUUGUUACGUAUCUGUCUAGGUUGGAACUGUUGUUACAUAUCUGACUAGGUUGGAACUGUUGUUACAUAUCUGUCUAGGUUGGAACUGUUGCUGUGUCAUGAUGCAGGACCUUCAACGAGCCGUGAACUCCGGAUAAGAACGCCUGAGGCCAGAGUUGCAUCUAACUAGAUUUGUUUGACUAAUUC